rnacentral:rRNA from 1 species
AGACGGAGGGUGCUAGCGUUGUUCGGAAUCAUUGGGCGUAAAGGGCGUGUAGGCGGUUCGUUAAGUCAUGCGUGAAAGCCCUCGGCUUAACCGAGGAAGGGCGUAUGAUACUGGCGAGCUAGAGUUCGGAAGAGGGGGGUGGAAUUCCAGGUGUAGCGGUGAAAUGCGUAGAUAUCUGGAGGAACACCGGUGGCGAAGGCGACCCCCUGGUCCGACACUGACGCUGAGACGCGAAAGCGUGGGUAGCAAACAGGAUUAGAAACCCCAGUAGUCC